rnacentral:rRNA from 1 species
ACUCCUACGGGAGGCAGCAGUGGGGAAUCUUGGACAAUGGGCGAAAGCCUGAUCCAGCCAUGCCGCGUGAACGAUGAAGGCCUUAGGGUUGUAAAGUUCUUUCGCCGGUGACGAUAAUGACGGUAACCGGAGAAGAAGCCCCGGCUAACUCCGUGCCAGCAGCCGCGGUAAUACGGAGGGGCUAGCGUUGUUCGGAAUUACUGGGCGUAAAGCGCACGUAGGCGGACCAUUAAGUCGGGGUGAAAUCCCGGGGCUCAACCCCGGAACUGCCUUCGAUACUGGUGGUCUGGAGGUCGAGAGAGGCGAGUGGAAUUCCGAGUGUAGAGGUGAAAUUCGUAGAUAUUCGGAGGAACACCAGUGGCGAAGGCGGCUCACUGGCUCGAUACUGACGCUGAGGUGCGAAAGUGUGGGGAGCAAACAGGAUUAGAUACCCUGGUAGGAUAGCG